rnacentral:antisense_RNA from 1 species
GAUAUCCAAAAAUUAUUAAUGGAUUUAAGGUUGGAUUAGUGAUAUAACGUACAUCUCCUCCGCCCGGAGCCCAAGUAUCAUAAACUCCACCUAUAAACAUUGCUUUUACUACUAGUAAAAACGCUCCAACCCCCAAUAAAAUUAAAUGAAUACCUAAAAUUGUUGUCAUUUUAUUUUUAUCUCUCCA